rnacentral:tRNA from 1 species
GCACCCGUAGCUCAGCUGGAUAGAGCGUUGGAUUCCGAUUCCAAAGGUCACAGGUUCGAAUCCUGUCGGGUGCGCCA